UUACAGCUAGAGCUCUUCUCUGACCUCAGAUGUUUUCCAAACACAAAUGAAUUUUUUAGAACCUACAGAAUGAUCGAUAAACAAAUAAGCAGGUUUCGGAGAUGGUUACCUAAGAAGCCAAUGAGGCUGGACAAGGAGACACUGCCAGACCUGGAGGAGAAUGACUGCUACACUGCCCCUUUCAGCCAGCAAAGGAUCCAUCACUUCAUCAUACACAACAAAGAAACGUUCUUCAACAAUGCCACAAGAAGUAGAAUCGUGCAUCACAUUUUACAAAGAAUAAAAUAUGAAGAAGGAAAAAACAAGAUUGGUCUGAAUCGUUUGCUUACCAAUGGCUCCUAUGAAGCUGCGUUUCCCCUGCAUGAGGGAAGUUAUAGAAGUAAAAACUCCAUUCGAACCCAUGGAGCAGAAAACCACCGACAUCUACUCUAUGAGUGCUGGGCCUCCUGGGGCGUGUGGUAUAAAUACCAACCUUUGGAUCUUGUAAGGCGGUACUUUGGAGAGAAGAUUGGGUUAUAUUUUGCCUGGUUGGGCUG
rnacentral:sRNA from 1 species